rnacentral:rRNA from 1 species
GAUGAACGCUGACAGAAUGCUUAACACAUGCAAGUCGAGCGAGAGAGUUCUUCGGAACAAUCUAGCGGCGGACGGGUGAGUAACACGUGGGCAACCUGCCUCAUAGAGGGGAAUAGCCUUCCGAAAGGAAGAUUAAUACCGCAUAACAUCGUUGAAGGGCAUCCUUCGAUGAUCAAAGGAGCAAUCCGCUAUGAGAUGGGCCCGCGGCGCAUUAGCUAGUUGGUGAGGUAACGGCUCACCAAGGCGACGAUGCGUAGCCGACCUGAGAGGGUGAUCGGCCACAUUGGGACUGAGACACGGCCCAGACUCCUACGGGAGGCAGCAGUGGGGAAUAUUGCACAAUGGGGGAAACCCUGAUGCAGCAACGCCGCGUGAGUGAUGACGGCCUUCGGGUUGUAAAGCUCUGUCUUUGGGGACGAUAAUGACGGUACCCAAGGAGGAAGUCACGGCUAACUACGUGCCAGCCGCCGCGGUAACAC